UACGUAGGGUGCGAGCGUUAAUCGGAAUUACUGGGCGUAAAGCGUGCGUAGAUGGUUAUGUAAGUCGGAUGUGAAAGCCCCGGGCUCAACCUGGGAAUGGCAUUCGAGACUGCCUAGCUAGGAUGCGGAAGAGGGAAGCGGAAUUUCCGGUGUAGCGGUGAAAUGCGUAGAUAUCGGAAGGAACACCAGUGGCGAAAGCGGCUUCCUGGUCCAGCAUCGACGUUCAGGCACGAAAGCGUGGGGAGCAAACAGG
rnacentral:rRNA from 1 species